rnacentral:rRNA from 1 species
AUUGAACGCUGGCGGCAUGCUUUACACAUGCAAGUCGAACGGUAACAGGUUAAGCUGACGAGUGGCGAACGGGUGAGUAAUGCAUCGGAACGUGCCCGGUCGUGGGGGAUAACGCAGCGAAAGCUGCGCUAAUACCGCAUACGAUCUGAGGAUGAAAGCGGGGGACCGUAAGGCCUCGCGCGAUCGGAGCGGCCGAUGUCAGAUUAGGUAGUUGGUGGGGUAAAGGCUCACCAAGCCGACGAUCUGUAGCUGGUCUGAGAGGACGACCAGCCACACUGGGACUGAGACACGGCCCAGACUCCUACGGGAGGCAGCAGUGGGGAAUUUUGGACAAUGGGCGCAAGCCUGAUCCAGCAAUGCCGCGUGCUGGAAGAAGGCCUUCGGGUUGUAAACUGCUUUUGUACGGAGCGAAAAGGCUCUCUCCAAUACAGGGGGCUCAUGACGGUACCGUAGGAAUAAGCACCGGCUAACUACGUGCCAGCCGCCGCAGUAA